rnacentral:rRNA from 1 species
AAUAGAUACCCCGGUAGUCCACGCCGUAAACGAUGGAUGCUAGCUGUUAUGAGUAUCGACCCUUGUAGUAGCGAAGCUAACGCGUUAAGCAUCCCGCCUGUGGAGUACGAGCGCAAGCUUAAAACAUAAAGGAAUUGACGGGGACCCGCACAAGCGGUGGAGCGUGUUGUUUAAUUCGAUGAUAAGCGAAGAACCUUACCAAGGCUUGACGUCCCUGGAAUUUCUCCGAAAGGAGAGAGUGCCUUCGGGAAUCAGGUGACAGGUGAUGCAUGGCCGUCGUCAGCUCGUGUCGUGAGAUGUUUGGUUAAGUCCAUCAACGAGCGCAACCCUUGUAAAUAGUUGGAUAUUUCUAUUUAGACUGCCUCGGUAACGGGGAGGAAGGAGGGGAUGAUGUCAGGUCAGUAUUUCCCUUACGCCUUGGGCUACAAACACGCUACAAUGGCCGGUACAAAGGGCAGCCAACCCGCGAGGGGAGCAAAUCCCAUCAAAACCGGUCUCAGUUCGGAUAGCAGGCUGAAAUUCGCCUGCUUGAAGCCGGAAUCGC